UACGUAGGUGGCAAGCGUUGUCCGGAUUUACUGGGCGUAAAGAGCGCGCAGGCGGUCGUUCAAGUCGCGUGUGAAAGCCCCCGGCUCAACUGGGGAGGGUCACGCGAUACUGAUCGACUCGAAGGCAGGAGAGGGUAGUGGAAUUCCCGGUGUAGUGGUGAAAUGCGUAGAUAUCGGGAGGAACACCAGUGGCGAAGGCGGGUCUCUGGACAGUUCCUGACACUGAGACACGAAGGCCAGGGGAGCAAACGGG
rnacentral:rRNA from 1 species